CAACGAUGGUGGUUGUUUCUUUUGCAACAUGAAAGGACACGUGAAGAAGGAAUGUGCUAAGUACAUUGCAUGGCGAGCAAAGAAAGGGUUGCCUGAGUUACCGAAAGCCAAGUGAUGCUGAAAGAAGCAUUUAUGUGGGAGACGGCAAGUCGGUGAAUGUGGAAGCAAUAGGGCAUUUUAGGUUGUUGUUAAGUACUGGUUACUAUUUGGACUUAAUAGAUACUUUUGUUGUACCGUCAUUUAGGCGGAAUUUGGUUUCUGUUUCUUGUUUGGACAAAUUAGGUUAUUGUUGUUCAUUUGGAAACAACUGCUUUAGUUUAUCUAUUAAUUCAAAUACUGUUGGAACUGGUUCUCUUA